GGGCGAAAGCCUGACGGAGCAACGCCGCGUGAGGGACGAAGGCCUCUGGGCUGUAAACCUCUUUUCUCAAGGAAGAAGAUAUGACGGUACUUGAGGAAUAAGCCACGGCUAAUUCCGUGCCAGCAGCCGCGGUAAUACGGGAGUGGCAAGCGUUAUCCGGAAUUAUUGGGCGUAAAGCGUCCGCAGGCGGCUUUUCAAGUCUGCUGUUAAAGCGUGGAGCUUAACUCCAUCAUGGCAGUGGAAACUGAAAGGCUUGAGUAUGGUAGGGGCAGAGGGAAUUCCCGGUGUAGCGGUGAAAUGCGUAUAUAUCGGGAAGAACACCAGUGGCGAAGGCGCUCUGCUGGGCCAUUACUGACGCUCAUGGACGAAAGCCAGGGGAGCGAAAGGGAUUAGAUACCCCUGUAGUCCUGGCCGUAAACGAUGAACACUAGGUGUCGGGGGAAUCGACCCCUUCGGUGUCGUAGCUAACGCGUUAAGUGUUCCGCCUGGGGAGUACGCACGCAAGUGUGAAACUCAAAGGAUUUGAC
rnacentral:rRNA from 1 species